ensembl:ncRNA F29G6.4 ncRNA
AUUGGUUUCAAAAAGCAGUCGGGCUCUUAACUCUGCUACAAACGGCAAACACGGCGCCGAUGAUAACUGCCAUUUGAUGUAAGAUGAUAAA